UACGCCCUUUCCUGCAGCAGUGCGCCGUUGCCAGUCAUUCCGAAACGAUAUUACCGCAUGAUGAUACCUUGAUUUGUGUGUAAACGAUAAUUAGUCGGUUUAUAAUUCGAAUCGUAUAGGCAUUGUCCGCGUUGACGGUCACGGUGUGCGCGAGCAGUGCGACGAAGUCCCGAAAUUGGGUCGCCUCCUCCGCCUCCACCAGGAUGUCAAUUUAGUUUUUUGGUUAUUAUUUACCUCAAAAUGUUCGGCCGUAAGAUGGAACUUGCGAUGUUUUUCUCCCAAAUCCACAAGGAUUUUGUGUAACUCCUCAGGUGUUUUCAAGUGUUCAAUAGCAGUAUUAAAUGCAAAUCCGGUCCUAAAAGAGUGUGCCAAAAAGUGAACGUUCGAUUCAAGUUCUUCGAAUGGAACAUGAGCGAAGCGAUCGAACUGUAAUUGAUAUGAUGGACUUCUCUUGAAAAGACUUCGCAAAAAAAAGAUUUUCCUGCAAAAGAAUCAACCUUAUACGUUCAUGUCGUACAUGCACGUUGUUGUCAAUUGCGUGUUUACAAUACAUUGUUGUAAAAUUGUAAAGCCGCUUUAAAGUAUACAAACAUACAGUAUUUAUACGUUGUCGAGUAAUAGUACAUAAUAUUACAUGUAUAAGGGUAUAAUGGUUAUGGAAUUAAAAAGCAUGUUGCCGUUGCUGUCUUUGAAUUUGAGGAACAUAUUAUCCUAUUGUGAAGACAAAGUAAGAAUUUUAUAUACCAUUAUAGAUUUAACUGU